CCAAAGCGCUAUCACAUGCAUGUUGCGCAACCUCGAUGAUAGUGCUUGAUAGUACAGCGGGGUUAAAUCUGAUAUGUCUGGGAAACAUUCUUUUGCUCUCAACUGGUAGCGGCGAUUUCUCCUGUAUUAUCAAUUGCAAAGGAGAUAACAACGAAAUAGUAAAGGGGUGCAAAUUGUUGCAAAGUAAUAUAAUGACAUACAUUGGGCAGGACUUCAGCAGUUGGUCUGUUGCCAGGCUGAUAUUUUGACAGUGACAGUGGUCUAACUGGCAAUCCCUUGGUGAACAUGUGACAGUUCAUGCACUCGCUAACGGAUUGUUGAACAGAGGAAAUGAUUGACUGAUAGACAAAAGACAAACAUGAAGACCAAGCUGCAUACAAAGCUUAAUUGUGAAAUGGUUCCCGGACGGACGGAAUGACGUCCAAACGGACGGUUAAAUCAUUACUUUUUUACUGAUUUAAUUCAUUUCUUUGGAUUUGAUUUAUUGAUAACAACAACUUUUGUUCUGAUUCAAGUAUACGAC